rnacentral:rRNA from 1 species
GCGGCAGGCUUACACAUGCAAGUCGAGCGGUAACAUUUCUAGCUUGCUAGAAGAUGACGAGCGGCGGACGGGUGAGUAACGCGUAGGAAUCUGCCUAGUAGUGGGGGACAACAUGUGGAAACGCAUGCUAAUACCGCAUACGCCCUACGGGGGAAAGGAGGGGAUCUUCGGACCUUUCGCUAUUAGAUGAGCCUGCGUGAGAUUAGCUAGUUGGUGGGGUAAAGGCCUACCAAGGCGACGAUCUCUAGCAGGUCUGAGAGGAUGAUCAGCCACACUGGGACUGAGACACGGCCCAGACUCCUACGGGAGGCAGCAGUGGGGAAUAUUGGACAAUGGGCGCAAGCCUGAUCCAGCCAUGCCGCGUGUGUGAAGAAGGCCUUAGGGUUGUAAAGCACUUUCAGGAGUGAGGAAGGGCGUAUAGUUAAUACCUGUAUGUUUUGGACGUUACUCCAGAAGAAGCACCGGCUAACUCUGUGCCAGCAGCCGCGGUAA